rnacentral:lncRNA from 1 species
UCCGAGUCCGGCGGACGAACGUCGCCCGCGCCCCCCACCAAGGCUAUAGCCCACCCGUUUUUUGGCCAUUUUUCCGCUAGGGGGUUUUGGCACCACGACCUUCGGGCGCUUAUUUUUGGGCGCGGCUUUGCCCGCGGCUUAUUUUUGGCACCCCGAGGCCCCUCGCAAAGUCUCGCCCCAUUCCGAGUCCGGCGGACGAACUUCGCCCGCGCCCCCCACCAAGGCUAUAGCCCACCCGUUUUUUGGCCAUUUUUCCGCUGGGGGGUUUUGGCACCUCGACCUUCGGGCGCUUAUUUUUGGGCGCGGCUUUGCCCGUGGCUUAUUUUUGGCACCCCGAGGCCCCUCGCAAAGUCUCGCCGCAUUCCGAGUCCGGCGGACGAACGUCGCCCGCGCCCCCCACCAAGGCUAUAGCCCACCCGUUUUUUGGCCAUUUUUCCGCUAGGGGGUUUUGGCACCACGACCUUCGGGCGCUUAUGUUUGGGCGCGGCUUUGCCCGCGGCUUAUUUUUGGCACCCCGAGGCCCCUAGCAAAGUCUCGCCCCAUUCCGAGUCCGGCGGACGAACUUCGUCCGCGCCCCCCACCAAGGCUAUAGCCCACCCGUUUUUUGGCCAUUUUUCCGCUAGGGGGUUUUGGCACCACGACGGUCGAGCGCUUAUUUUUGGGCGCGGCUUUGCCCGCGGCUUAUUUUCUGCACCCCGAGGCCCCUCGCAAAGUCUCGCCGCAUUCCGAGUCCGGCGGACGAACGUCGCCCGCGCCCCCCACCAAGGCUAUAGCCCACCCGUUUUUUGGCCAUUUUUCCGCUGGGGGGUUUUGGCACCACGACCUUCGGGCGCUUAUUUCUGGGCGCGGCUUUGCCCGCGGCUUAUUUUUGGCACCCCGAGGCCCCUCGCAAAGUCUCGCCGCAUUCCGAGUCCGGCGGACGAACUUCGCCCGCGCCCCCCACCAAGGCUAUAGCCCACCCAUUUUUUGGCCAUUUUUCCGCUGGGGGGUUUUGGCACCACGACCUUCGGGUGCUUAUUUUUGGGCGCGGCUUUGCCCGCGGCUUAUUUUUGGCACCCCGAGGCCCCUCGCAAAGUCUCGCCGCAUUCCGAGUCUGGCGGACGAACUUCGCCCGCGCCCCCCACCAAGGCUAUAGCCCACCCGUUUUUUGGCCAUUUUUCCGCUGGGGGGUUUUGGCACCACGACCUUCGGGCGCUUGGUGGGGGGACUUUGCCAUUUUUCUCGCCCCAUUUUUUGGCUUUGCCCGCGGCUUAUUUUUGGCAGCCCGAGGCCCCUCGCAAAGUCUCGCCGCAUUCCGAGUCCGGCGGACGAACGUCGCCCGCGCCCCCCACCAAGGCUAUAGCCCACCCGUUUUUUGGCCAUUUUUCCGCUAGGGGGUUUUGGCACCACGACCUUCGGGCGCUUAUUUUUGGGCGCGGCUUUGCCCGCGGCUUAUUUUUGGCACCCCGAGGCCCCUCGCAAAGUCUCGCCCCAUUCCGAGUCCGGCGGACGAACUUCGCCCGCGCCCCCCACCAAGGCUAUAGCCCACCCGUUUUUUGGCCAUUUU